rnacentral:tRNA from 1 species
GCCAUCGUAGCUCAGCUGGUAGAGCGUCGCCAUGGUAAGGCGGAGGUCCCGGGUUCAAGCCCCGGCGUUGGCU